GAGACGCCCAAAGAUGUGGCUUAGAGAGUCCCGCUCAGCGAGCACGAGGUGACGCCGGAAGGAUGGAGUUGAGACGGACAGAUCGGAGGACCUGAGAAACAGUGGUCCAACUCUAAUACCUAGCUGACCUCAAAUGUGAAGCAAUCCUCUAGCCUCAGCCUCCAGAGUGUUGGGAAUUAUAGUUAUCUGUUUCUUAGACCUGUUGUAGAAAAAGAGCUCAUCCUAUAUUCUGGCAAGCUGUAUGACGACAUGGACCCUCUUUGUUACAUGUUAACAGAAGUCAGUCCCAGAGCGUGGCUAAGAAAAAAGAA